AUUGAACGCUGGCGGCAUGCCUAACACAUGCAAGUCGAGCGAGGUGUAGCAAUACAUCUAGCGGCGGACGGGUGAGGAAUACAUAGGAAUUUGCCUUUAAGUGGGGGAUAGCCCGGGGAAACUCGGAGUAAUACCGCAUGACGUCGAAAGACCAAAGCAGGGGACCGCAAGGCCUUGCGCUUUUAGAGAAGCCUAUGUCGGAUUAGCUAGUUGGUGAGGUAAUGGCUCACCAAGGCAACGAUCCGUAGCUGGUUUGAGAGAACGAUCAGCCACACCGGAACUGAGACACGGUCCGGACUCCUACGGGAGGCAGCAGUGGGGAAUAUUGGACAAUGGGCGAAAGCCUGAUCCAGCAAUGCCGCGUGUGUGAAGAAGGCC
rnacentral:rRNA from 1 species